GAUGAACGCUGGCGGCGUGCCUAAUACAUGCAAGUCGAGCGAACAGACGAGGAGCUUGCUCCUCUGACGUUAGCGGCGGACGGGUGAGUAACACGUGGAUAACCUACCUAUAAGACUGGGAUAACUUCGGGAAACCGGAGCUAAUACCGGAUAAUAUAUUGAACCGCAUGGUUCAAUAGUGAAAGACGGUUUUGCUGUCACUUAUAGAUGGAUCCGCGCCGCAUUAGCUAGUUGGUAAGGUAACGGCUUACCAAGGCGACGAUGCGUAGCCGAACUGAGAGGGUGAUAGGCCACACUGGAACUGAGCCACGGUCCAGACUCCUACGGGAGGCAGCAGUAGGGAAUCUGCCGCAAUGGGCGAAAGCCUGACGGAGCAACGCCGCGUGAGUGAUGAAGGUCUUCGGAUCGUAAAACUCUGUUAUUAGGGAAGAACAAAUGUGUAAGUAACUAUGCACGUCUUGACGGUACCUAAUCAGAAAGCCACGGCUAACUACGUG
rnacentral:rRNA from 1 species